rnacentral:rRNA from 1 species
UACAAGGAGGGUGCGAGCGUUGUCCGGAAUCACUGGGCGUAAAGGGCGCGUAGGUGGCGCGACAAGUCAGUGGUGAAAGUUCGACGCUUAACGUCGAAUCGGCCACUGAUACUGUUGGGCUUGAGCACUGUAGAGGCUAAUGGAAUUCCGGGGUGUAGCGGUGGAAUGCGUAGAGAUCCGGAAGAACAUCGGUGGCGAAGGCGGCCUGC